GGGGCUGAAUUUUAAGCUCGACGUUGGUACCUUUCGGUUAUGAUUGCAGGUCGCUUGUCAGCGUUAUAGGCAAAAUUGAAUAGAUGCAAAAUCUUUCAAACAAGCUGUAGCUAGUGUUAAGGCUGGUCUUCAGGGCGUUGCUCUGAACCUCUUUGGCACUCGCGCUACCGCUAAUCUCGUAGCUUAAUCACUACGAAACGCCUUUGACGAUUUCAGAUAGCCAAAGUAGCGUUUUAUAUAUCUGGACGCUCGCGUGAGAGCAUCUGGCUCAUGCGCUAAGAUUAGGAUUGCUCAUUCGGUUUGUUUGUCUGUUUUUAACCCCGAAUGCUAAGACACUAAAAUAGACUAUGCCUGUAGUAUUCUGACCAUACGUCCGACGGACGCGGGGGCGGUACCCGCCAGCUCCACCA
rnacentral:tmRNA from 1 species